GACGAACGCUGGCGGCGUGCCUAAUACAUGCAAGUAGAACGCACAGUUUAUACCGUAGCUUGCUACACCAUAGACUGUGAGUUGCGAACGGGUGAGUAACGCGUAGGUAACCUGCCUGGUAGCGUGGGAUAACUAUUGGAAACGAUAGCUAAUACCGCAUAAUAUUAAUUAUUGCAUGAUAAUUAAUUGAAAGGUGCAAUUGCACCACUACCAGACGGACCUGCGUUGUAUUAGCUAGUAGGUGAGGUAACGGCUCACCUAGGCGACGAUACAUAGCCGACCUGAGAGGGUGAUCGGCCACACUGGGAGUGGGACACGGCCCAGACUCCUACGGGAGGCAGCAGUAGGGAAUCUUCGGCAAUGGACGAAAGUCUGACCGAGCAACGCCGCGUGAGUGAAGAAGGUUUUCGGAUCGUAAAGCUCUGUUGUAAGAGAAGAACGGGUGUGAGAGUGGAAAGUUCACACUGUGACGGUAUCUUACCAGAAAGGGACGGCUAACUACGUG
rnacentral:rRNA from 1 species